rnacentral:lncRNA from 1 species
CAAAUCAAACGAUGCAUUUGUACAUGAUCCACAGUCAGUCAGACAAAACUUGUGUCUGUGAUAUUGAAAUGUUGAGACAAAAUUCUCUGCUCCAUAAAUGCUCACCCUCUUGUAGUCUCUUAAGUUUCUCUUUCAGGCUUUCAGUCUCUCUGCUUCAGUGACAACACUCGACAGUUCUCCAGCACUUUCUACCAACAGCUCUCACAUGGAUCAGUGGAAUAGUGGGACCUCUCCAAGACAGGGGCCCUACCAUAACAGCAGCCUCACUGGCUUUCAAAGGACAAAAGGCAAAAGAAAGCACGACAACUCUGUCCCCAGAGGUGCACGGGACCCUGCCGGCUCUGCAGCGAAGUCUGUCAUCGGCAGGAGGACUGACAUUUUGCUGAUUAUCUCGACUGCUUUGACAUCUUGCCGGCAGUACAAAUGAUCACUUAUGUAAAGGUUAUUUGAAUAAAGGUAACAUCCCUUGGUGUGACUUAGCUGUG